UACGGGGGGGGUAAGCGUUGUUCGGAAUUACUGGGCGUAAAGGCUCGUAGGCGGCCAACUAAGUCGGACGUGAAAUCCCUCAGCUUAACUGGGGAACUGCGUCCGAUACUGGAUGGCUUGGAUUUGGGAGAGGGAUGCGGAAUUCCAGGUGUAGCGGUGAAAUGCGCAGAUAUCAGGAAGAACACCCGUGGCGAAGGCGGCUCUCUGGUACGUGACUGACGCUGAGACGCGAAAGCGUGGGGAGCAAACAGG
rnacentral:rRNA from 1 species